AAACUAACAAGGAUUCCCCUAGUAACGGCGAGUGAAGAGGGAAAAGCCCAAAUUUGUAAUCUGGCUCUUUCAGAGUCCGAGUUGUAAUUUUAAGAACUGUUUUCCGUGCUGGACCAUGUACAAGUCUGUUGAAAAACAGCAUCAUUGAGGGUGAAAAUCCCGUACAUGAUAUGGACUACCAGUGCAAUGUGAUACAGUCUCUAAGAGUCGAGUUGUUUGGGAAUGCAGCUCAAAGUGGGUGGUAAAUUCCAUCUAAGGCUAAAUAUAGGUGAGAGACCGAUAGCAAACAAGUACCGUGAGGGAAAGAUGAAAAGAACUUUGGAAAGAGAGUUAACAGUACGUGAAAUUGUUAAAAGGGAAACAUUUGAAGUUAGACUUGUUAUUGUUGGUUCAACUUCUUUAUUGAGGUGUAUUCCAAUGGUUAACAGACCAGCAUCAAUUUUUGGGUGUUGGAUAAGGGUUUAGGAAAUGUAGCAACCUUGGUUGUGUUAUAGUCCUUUACUUUGAUACAAUGCUUAGGAUUGAGGAACGCAGUAAGCUUUGUAGCAGAUUUCUUUGGAGAUCUUCUUACUA
rnacentral:rRNA from 1 species